rnacentral:lncRNA from 1 species
CAAGUAAGUCUGGAUGGAGAGAAGGAAAGCUCCGUCAUUUGGGUAAACAUCGGACCAACGCAGCGGCACACGUUAGUAAACAACUACCUCCGCUCUCGGGUUUUCCGCCCGGGACGGAGUCCGCGGUGAGAGGAAAGUGGCGCCGGAGAGGCUUUGGAUUUCUUCCAAACCGAGUAGAAACCAGAUCCCGCCGCGCGGCACUAGGCACGCUCGAGGCUGGCAGCCGCCCAACUAUAACAAAACGGCGGUGAAAAGGAACGCGUUAGCGCGCGCCUAGUCGGGAUGUAAAGGGCGGCGCGGUAGAGCCGGAGGCUAGACUAAAAUAGCCGGAGUCCAGAUAGAUGGGGUUAAAAAGCCUCGGGUGACAGACCGAGUAAAACUUUCCCAAACUAGGGGUUAAGAUAAUUGGUGGCUAGAGCCGGAAGCGACGGAGAGAAGAGACAGCAGUGGGGCCGGUCCGGCUCUAGCACGGUCGAGGGGAGGCUCCAAUUCGAUCAGAAUAAUCGGACGGAGAAGAGCGUGGCUAACCCACAAGCGCAGUCGAAGACGGAGGCGCGCCAACUCCCCCCAGCGUGACGAACGGCAACCAGAUCCCGUGGCUAUUUUUGGGCCGCCGCCUGGCCGACAUCCGCCAGCUUUCCGAAAUCAUUCGUAGCCAACGGUGAAGCAAAGUCAGGGCCAGACUAGAAUUUAACUGGUCCGGGACAAACGGGGCUUAGAAAAUUUGUCGGAGGGGUGGGCCCUACAUCCCGAUACUUUCCCACUGACGGGAAACUACCGGGAUGAUGGAAAGCCCGACGUUGUCUUCUGGUGAUAACUUAUAUGGCCGACGGGAGGGCCCGCCGUGCAGGAGUCGCUGGUGGCGCGCACCGCCCGAAAACAAUCAAACCGAGAUGAUAAACGCUGUUAAGUCGUUGACUAAGAGUGGCGUAAUGGCCAGCGGCGUCCCGUUCACUCCACCGGGACCCAAUAUUUGGCAUUUUUGGGCAAAGACACUGUCAUUUCAGCGCCAGGCCACCGAUGGCGGACCAAUGAAAGGCAUUUAGCGGGAGGGCGAUACGGCGGACAAAGGGGAAGCCGAGCCAAGCGCCAUAUGGCGAAAAGAAGUUUUUGGGGCUGGUUAACUUAGAGGCGGGAAGUGGCUUCCCCAGCACGGAGGUCGAGCCUUCCAAGUGGGUGGUAACUAAACGGCAGCGACCAUUAAAUGUCUAGGCAGCGAAGUUCGAAAAACAUUUUUUCGCUGGCCGUGGAAAAAUUCCGGCGGGAAGUGCCUUUCCCUGGAUAAGAAGGCCGUUACCCAGCGGUACGACCUCCGAAUUUCCCCACAUCCAUCCUUAAUACAAAUUAUUACGUCCUUCUUAAAUUCUUACCGACCGAUAAUUAAAGUGACCGAGGUAGUGUUUGUUGAUCACUUUCUGGCACAAAAAAACCUGGACUAUUAAUAGCUCGUCUCCUCCUUCCUCGGAAGAAAAUUUCCCCAUUAUUCCCGUUAAAAAUUUCCCCGGCUGGUGUUGGCCCGCAGUUUCUUCGCACCUAUUCCAACCGUUAUUUGGCCGGUCUUCCCAGAUUUUUCUCGGUCGUGUUUCCCAUCAGACCCGGCUAGAAAAACUCCUCGGGAUUUAACUCCCUCCUACC